GACGAACGCUGGCGGCGUGCUUAACACAUGCAAGUCGAACGGAAAGGCCCUGCUUGCAGGGUACUCGAGUGGCGAACGGGUGGGUAACACGUGGGUGAUCUGCCCUGCACUUCGGGAUAAGCCUGGGAAACUGGGUCUAAUACCGGAUAGGAGCCAUUUUUAGUGUGAUGGUUGGAAAGUUUUUUCGGUGUAGGAUGAGCUCGCGGCCUAUCAGCUUGUUGGUGGGGUAAUGGCCUACCAAGGCGGCGACGGGUAGCCGGCCUGAGAGGGUGGACGGCCACAUUGGGACUGAGAUACGGCCCAGACUCCUACGGGAGGCAGCAGCGGGGAAUAUUGCACAAUGGGCGCAAGCCUGAUGCAGCGACGCCGCGUGGGGGAUGACGGCCUUCGGGUUGUAAACUCCUUUCGCUAGGGACGAAGCUUUUUGUGACGGUACCUAGAUAAGAAGCACCGGCUAACUACGUG
rnacentral:rRNA from 1 species